CGAAAUGAAGCUUUAAGCCAUUUAUUUACAUUAAAUAGUACUUAGUAUUUUCUAGGCAUUUUGA
rnacentral:tRNA from 1 species